UGGAAAUAAUCCAAAAGGAUUCCUUCAGUAAUGGCGAAUGAACGGGGAAAAGCUCAGCAAAGAAAUCGAGGACUCCGGCCUUGAGUUGUGGACUUGAGAGGUAUCGCCAAUGGUGGCACAGGUGGGGGCCUCUUGGAAAAGGGCACCACAGAGGGUGUGAGUCCUGUUUGCCAUCUGUAGUCCGCUGUGUACGGCAUGCCUCCUCCGAGUCACGUUCCUUGGAAUUGGAGCGCGAAGGUGGUGGUGGCUUUCAUCUCAAGCUAAGUAUGGGUUCGAGACCGAUAGCAAACAAGUACCAUGAGGGAAAAUUGAAAAGAGCUUUGGAAAGAGAGUUAAAAGUGCCCGAACUUGCUGAUAGGGAAGCGAAGGGAGCUGACGUUGCUUGGUAACAUCUUCCGCGCAGGACUAGGAUGGGUUCUGAUUGCAAUGUGUGUUGUGUUUCUUGCCAUGCGUGUCAAUGCCAAGUAAUGAGUGGGGAGAGCUCCAGGGAUAAUGAUUGUUUCUGUCCCCGGGUAGACGAAUAUGUCUGGGUGCAUCCAUUUGUGGGCUGAAAAAUUGGUGGUUGGUUGCAGCUCCCUGCCUACGAGGCAAUUGGGGUGUAGCCCUGACACGCAGACGAGGACAAAG
rnacentral:rRNA from 1 species